rnacentral:rRNA from 1 species
CAGCAGUAGGGAAUUUUGGGCAAUGGGCGCAAGCCUGACCCAGCAACGCCGCGUGAGCGAAGACGGCCUUCGGGUUGUAAACUGCUUUUGUACGGGAAUAAACCCACGCUCGUGAGCGUGGCUGACGGUAACGGAGAGAGUAACGAUCGGCUAACUCCGUG